rnacentral:rRNA from 1 species
GUCGAGCGAACAGACGAGGAGCUUGCUCCUCUGACGUUAGCGGCGGACGGGUGAGUAACACGUGGAUAACCUACCUAUAAGACUGGGAUAACUUCGGGAAACCGGAGCUAAUACCGGAUAAUAUUUUGAACCGCAUGGUUCAAAAGUGAAAGACGGUCUUGCUGUCACUUAUAGAUGGAUCCGCGCUGCAUUAGCUAGUUGGUAAGGUAACGGCUUACCAAGGCAACGAUGCAUAGCCGACCUGAGAGGGUGAUCGGCCACACUGGAACUGAGACACGGUCCAGACUCCUACGGGAGGCAGCAGUAGGGAAUCUUCCGCAAUGGGCGAAAGCCCGACGGAGCAACGCCGCGUGAGUGAUGAAGGUCUUCGGAUCGUAAAACUCUGUUAUUAGGGAAGAACAUAUGUGUAAGUAACUGUGCACAUCUUGACGGUACCUAAUCAGAAAGCCACGGCUAACUACGUGCCAGCAGCCGCGGUAAUACGUAGGUGGCAAGCGUUAUCCGGAAUUAUUGGGCGUAAAGCGCGCGUAGGCGGUUUUUUAAGUCUGAUGUGAAAGCCCACGGCUCAACCGUGGAGGGUCAUUGGAAACUGGAAAACUUGAGUGCAGAAGAGGAAAGUGGAAUUCCAUGUGUAGCGGUGAAAUGCGCAGAGAUAUGGAGGAACACCAGUGGCGAAGGCGACUUUCUGGUCUGUAACUGACGCUGAUGUGC